rnacentral:rRNA from 1 species
AACUGGUUGACUUGAGUAUGGGAGAGGAAAGUGGAAUUCCCGGUGUAGAGAUGAAGUUCGUAGAUAUCGGGAGGAAUACCUGAGGCGAAGGCGACUUUCUGGACCAAUACUGACGCUGAGGUGCGAAAGCGUGGGUAGCGAACAGGAUUAGAUACCCUGGUAGUCACGCUGCAACCGAUGGACACUAGGUAUGGGGAGUAUCGACCCUCUCCGUGCCGCAGUUAACGCGAUAAGUGUCCCGCCUGGGGAUUACGGCCGCAAGGCUAAAAUUCAAAGGAAUUGACGGGGGCCCGCACAAGCAGCGGAGCGUGUGGUUUAAUUCGAUGAUACGCGAAGAACCUUACCAGGGCUUGACAUGCUGGUAGUAGGAACCCGAAAGGGGGACGAUCCGUCUUUGGCGGAAGCCAGCACAGGUGCUGCAUGGCUGUCGUCAGCUCGUGUCGUGAGAUGUUGGGUUAAGUCCCACAACGAGCGCAACCCUUGCCCUGUGUUGCUCUCUUACAGGGGACUGCCCCGCAAAACGGGGAGGAAGGUGGGGAUAACGUCAAGUCAGCAUGGCCCUUAAACCCUGGGCAACACACACGCUACAAUGGUCGGUACAAAGGGAUGCGAAAGAGCGAUCUGGAGCUAAUCUCAUAAAACCGAUCCCAGUUCGGAUUGGAGGCUGAAAUUCGCCUCCAUGAAGCUGGAGCUGCUAG